rnacentral:rRNA from 1 species
AGCAGCCGCGGUAAUUCCAGCUCCAAUAGCGUAUAUUAAAGUUGCUGCAGUUAAAAAGCUCGUAGUUGAAUUUCGGGACCAUCAUGUCGGUCGUGCCUCGGUACGUACUGGCAUUGUUGGUUUCUCCCUUCUGAAGAACCAUGAUGUCAUUAAUUUGGUGUCAUGGGGAAUCAGGACUGUUACUUUGAAAAAUUAGAGUGUUUAAAGCAGGCUCGCGCUUGAAUACAUUAGCAUGGAAUAAUGAAAUAGGACGUUUGAUUCUAUUUUGUUGGUUUCUAGGAUCGACGUAAUGAUUAAUAGGGAUAGUUGGGGGCAUUAGUAUUCAAUUGUCAGAGGUGAAAUUCUUGGAUUUAUUGAAGACUAACUACUGCGAAAGCAUUUGCCAAGGAUGUUUUCAUUAAUCAAGAACGAAAGUUAGGGGACCGAAGACGAUCAGAUACCGUCGUAGUCUUAACCAUAAACUAUGCCGACUAGGGAUCGGAUGAUGUUAAUUUUUAAUGUA